rnacentral:piRNA from 1 species
UGCGUAGUAUGUUUUUAAUUU